CCAUGUCAUGUUGAAACACCAGUUCCUGUAUGAUCACCAAAGUUAAGCAACAUCAAGCCUAGUCAGUACCUAGAUGAGUGCCUACUUGAGAAUACUAGGUGCUGUAA